rnacentral:rRNA from 1 species
AGAGUUUGAUCCUGGCUCAGGACGAACGCUGGCGGCGUGCCUAAUACAUGCAAGUCGAACGAAGCUUUCUUUCACCGAAUGCUUGCAUUCACCGAAAGAAAACUUAGUGGCGAACGGGUGAGUAACACGUAGGCAACCUGCCCAAAAGAGGGGGAUAACACUUGGAAACAGGUGCUAAUACCGCAUAACCAUGAACACCGCAUGAUGUUCAUGCAAAAGACGGCUUUUGCUGUCACUUUUGGAUGGGCCUGCGGCGUAUUAACUUGUUGGUGGGGUAACGGCCUACCAAGGUGAUGAUACGUAGCCGAACUGAGAGGUUGAUCGGCCACAUUGGGACUGAGACACGGCCCAAACUCCUACGGGAGGCAGCAGUAGGGAAUCUUCCACAAUGGACGAAAGUCUGAUGGAGCAACGCCGCGUGAAUGAAGAAGGCCUUCGGGUCGUAAAAUUCUGUUGUCAGAGAAGAACGUGCGUGAGAGUAACUGUUCACGUAUUGACGGUAUCUGACCAGAAAGCCACGGCUAACUACGUGCCAGCAGCCGCGGUAAUACGUAGGUGGCAAGCGUUGUCCGGAUUUAUUGGGCGUAAAGGGAACGCAGGCGGUCUUUUAAGUCUGAUGUGAAAGCCUUCGGCUUAACCGAAGUAGUGCAUUGGAAACUGGAAGACUUGAGUGCAGAAGAGGAGAGUGGAACUCCAUGUGUAGCGGUGAAAUGCGUAGAUAUAUGGAAGAACACCAGUGGCGAAAGCGGCUCUCUGGUCUGUAACUGACGCUGAGGUUCGAAAGCGUGGGUAGCAAACAGGAUUAGAUACCCUGGUAGUCCACGCCGUAAACGAUGAGUGCUAAGUGUUGGAGGGUUUCCGCCCUUCAGUGCUGCAGCUAACGCAUUAAGCACUCCGCCUGGGGAGUACGGUCGCAAGACUGAA